AACGAACGCUAUCGGUAUGCUUAACACAUGCAAGUCGGACGGACUAAUCAGGGCUUGCUCCAAUUCGUUAGUGGCAGACGGGUGAGUAACACGUGGGAAUCUGCCCCUCAGUAUGGAAUAAACUUUAGAAAAAAAAGCUAAUACCGUAAAUUCUCUACAGAGGAAAGAUUUAUCGGUGGGGGAUGAGCGCGGGUCAGAUUAGGUAGUUGGUUAGGCAACUGCUUACCAAGCUGACGAUCUGUAACUGGUCUGAGGGGAGGCUGAGCCACACUGGGACUGAGACACGGCCCAGACUCGUACGGGAGGCAGGAGUAGAGAAUAUUGGACGAGGGACGAAGGCCUAAUCCAGCAAUGCCGGGUGAGUGAUAAAUGCCGUAGGGUUGUAAAGCUCUUUGAGCAAGGAAGAUAAUGACGUUACUGGCAAAAGAAGCCCCGGCUAACUCCGUG
rnacentral:rRNA from 1 species